rnacentral:misc_RNA from 1 species
GGCUUUUUGGAAACAAAAGGCAGGAAAGUCCGGACAGCAUAGGGCAACGCACCACCUAACGGGUGGGGCUUUUCGCUUCGGUGAAGAGAACAGACAGUGCCACAGAAAAUAACCGCCUUCCGGGGUAAGGGUGAAAAUGUGGGGUAAGAGCCCACGGCAGAACCGGGUAACCUGUUCUGCGGGUAAACCUUGCGUGCUGAAAUGCCAUGUAAACGGUCGUUUGAGGGCUGCCCGCCCGAUGACCGAGGGUAGGCAGAUACAGGUAUUCAGU